CCUUUUUCGUUUGCGCAUCGUCAUCCGUCUUGUCGAUGAGAAUCGCGAGGUGCCAUAUUGGUUUUUAUAAAAUAAAAAUCUAAAACUUCGUCGGUAGAUCCCAGGUUGAUAGAUAUUGUGUAGCGAUUAUUGGUGGAACCGGCAGCUUCCCAUUCUGCCACCUUCCUGCCAAGAACCUCGCCAAGAACUUCCAGCGUAGAACGCAGUAAUCGGGGACCUUUUUAUUUCCUAAGCAAGCAUGUUAUUCUUAUCCGACCCACUAAAAUCAAAACCCUUUUCACUAGUCCGUAUCCUCCGGCACGCCAACAAAGUAGGAAACGUUGCGAAAGCAAAGUGCUCGGAUCAAACCAGGACGUUCCUUCCUUCAGGACACGAAAUUCUCGACUCGGAUGACGACUGGAAAGAGGAGGACUCGGACGAAUCGCUUCACGGCAGUGACGAUGAUGACAGCAAUCCAGAAACCCAGAAAGUAGGCUGAAAAACGCUGCAGCAAGAAUUAGCCGGAAUGAAGAAUAACAUGAAAAAACACGCGUCGUCGGUUGCCUGUGGAAGAACGGACGCGGGUCGAAACCAGAAUUUUCAGCCGUUAUUUGGGGAAUCCAGAAGAACCCAUCACGUUUACCGAGAAAAGACGAGGAAAUGGAAAACGGUGAGGGUGAUGAUGACAAAGAAAUGGAAUCUAAAAAGGAAUCUUAAGUGAAAAAAUAUGGUUUGCCAUCGACUCCUAUAGAUCAGCAUUUAAAUCAAAAACAUCUGCCGCCCCUGCCUCCAACAUCAUCAAGUAAGACUCUAUUAAACUCUCCGAAGAAGAUAAACGGGAGUAGUCCACAACGAAAAGGCAGGAAACCUGCGACCGUAUCGCCCCAUAACACAAGAAAAUCUGCCGCCUCGCCUCGCCAGUGGUCGCUUGUCCAGUUUGGACGCGAAACCAGUGGAAUGUUCAUUUAUUCACUGCCACUGAGAAGAACAUAAAUCAGACCACCGAAAGCAAUUUAAUCAGCCAGUUUCUGCAAAAAGAUGGCACCAACGCACCAACCAUAACAAGCACCCACAAGAGCAACGCGAAUGUGCCGGAACGGAUGAUGGUUGAUCCUUCAGUCGGAAAGCAAACCAAGGUGGACAGCUUUGAAAAGUAUCUGUACAGUAAUACUAAAGUGCACUAGGUGGGAUGGCGGUGCCACCAUUUCGAUGCUAGCAGUUGUUGCUGCUCAGGACACCCUUUGUCAUAGUGGCACAUACCAACAAAGCACUGACCGGAGUUCGACCCCCUGGGGUACAAAGUGAUGGCCAAUCUGCAUCGACACUGAUGAUCGUCGAUAUUUGCUUUCAGGAAUAUAAAUAUACUGCGGAACAUAACGAAGAAAUAAAUAAAAUCAAA